ACGAAACUAUUGUAUUGAUACGAAAGAGUGAAAUUACAAAUGAAGAAGUUGCCCACUAAUAGGUUUGUUACAAGUUAUUUAUACUAAUGCCUAUUAGGACUAAUGUGUCAAUCAUCUAUAUCGCUAAUACACAUAUUUACAAAGUAAGAGUUUGGAACAAUAAUAUUAGUAUGCUGAACAACAAUAAACAAUAUAAAGUUAUUUUACAAAGAAACGUUGGAACUUCACACGUUGUUCUGCCAUCCACGACCCAAGACCCCUUGCAUAGUUCAGUGAAUGU
rnacentral:lncRNA from 1 species